UUCCGCUCAAGUUCCUCCGCCGCGACCUCAGGACAGGCCGAAGAGGCGCGCACUACUCACGUGUCUUCCAAGUGCUGCUCCAAGGUCGCCUCCAUCCCACCCACCGACCACUCCGGCUCAGAACCCAGCGGCACGGCACGUCCUUCUCCACCACAGGCCUCAGUCACUUGACGCGAGCGGGGCGUGGACCGUAACGGCGCCUCCAAAGGGACAAAAUUGAUCACGGUGCAACGUCCGCGUUCUUUACUGGAAAACAUCACUGCGCUUCCGUCGCACAGAGCCUGACGAAGGCUUGGGCUCCCCGCGCGGUGACCGUCGAGGUGACCUGCACCUGGCUCCAUGGCGGAACCGGCCGGCACGGAUUAUUCCCCUCUCGGGAGAGGUCUGCAGCCGGGCCUCAGUGCUUCAGUUCGUGGCCUGGCAUUUUGUGAAGAGUGUCUUCAUCUCUGCAUCCCUAGUGCAACAGAGCAUGACAAAAAUUCAACAAAUAUUUAUUGAAGAGUCUUGAUGUCUUUUGGGAAAGGAACUCUAUGGUUACCUUUACUCUAAGGUAAAGAAAUUUAGGUCCUGAACUUUAACCACCUUCUCCUCUUCUUUCUUCCCUCUUUCAUAAAUGAGCUCUUGGAAAAUUAAAAUGCCAGGAGGGUCCAGCAGAGAAUACCCAAGCCCACAUGUCCUGAUGGGAAGUGGGGGAUAAGUAGAGAGGGAAACACAGACCCUGUAGGCCAUCUCACUGCUGCUGGCCCAGGGGACCCUAACUCCUUUUGUUGACUCAUCAGAAGUAGAAUCCUCCUGAGGGUCUGUUUAAGAAGCACAGCUCUGGUAGAAAGGGUAGCUUUCCUAUGGGUACGGAGGGCUCUGCUACCCCAGGGCUAUCCACACUGGCCUGUGAAUCACUCUCAAAUGCUUAGGGUCACGGGCUUUCAGUGGAAUGAGCCCUCAUGUGCCACCAGGGGGCACCAAGGCCACAGAAAACCCUAUUCAGAAGGUUCUGGGGUGAGGGAAAGGAAUCCACGGGUUUGUGGAGCUGGCGGAGCAUGGGUGAGGACAGCAUUAUGCUAGGUUGGUGGCCUUGAAGUCAGAUGUAAAUUGGGAUCCUGGCUUGGCCACUGACUAUCCAUGGGAACUUUGAAUCUCAGGGGGCUCAUUUGUGAUGUGGGGGUACCAUUAUCUGCCUCAUCAGGUUGUGGGGAGGAUUAUAUGAGAUACCUUAUGUAAGAGGGGCUGGUGCAUUGUGGAAGUCAACAAGUAAGUUUUGUUAAAUUUGAGUAAGAAGACCUGUUUGUUUCCUCAAGUUGCUUAUAAUCUAGGUGAGGACACAUCUGAGAGAAUAACUAAUAGUUCAGUGAAGUUAAAAACAACAACAACAACAACAAAAACACAAAACCCUGAGGCUCAGAAGAUAAAUAUUUGCUGAAGAUCACUGUGCUUAUUAGAUGGGUGUUACUGAUUCUUACCUCAGAGAAGAGAAUGUCAUGGAGACAAAAUGACCUGCUUAGAGUUCUGCACCCCCCAGCAUGGAGAGCAGAGCGCAAAGAUUUCUUCCGGACUCCCACAUUCCCCUUGGAAUCCAAGAACUGGUCUACUGUCACAACACUUUAGUACCCUCUUCUCCCAAGGAGGCAGCAGAAACUGGGGUAAUCACAACGGUCAA
rnacentral:lncRNA from 1 species